rnacentral:rRNA from 1 species
CACGUAGGGGGCAAGCGUUGUCCGGAUUUAUUGGGCGUAAAGAGCUCGUAGGCGGCUUAGAAAGUCAGGUGUGAAACCUCCAGGCUCAACCUGGAGACGCCACUUGAUACUUCUAUGGCUUGAGUUCGGUAGGGGACCAUGGAAUUCCUGGUGUAGCGGUGAAAUGCGCAGAUAUCAGGAGGAACACCGAUGGCGAAGGCAGUGGUCUGGGCCGAUACUGACGCUGAGGAGCGAAAGCGUGGGGGAGCGAACAGG